rnacentral:lncRNA from 12 species
GGGGGGGGGGGGGGGGGGUUUUUUUUUUUUUUGUCCUGAAGUCCCUCUAGAGAGAAACAUGGAACUGAGAUAUCAUGAAUCCAGUCAGAUCAUGCUUUGAACUGACAGCAGAGACCAGCCAAGAUUACAUUGAAUCCAUAACUUCUGCUUAUGGACUAAAAUAUAUUUUGGGAUGAUAACAAAGGCCAUGUGUGGUGAAGAAUCUCCUCAUCCCAAGGCAUUGUGGAAGCAGGCAGCAUCCCAGACCUGUGAAGGAGCUCAGCAGGAGGAGAAAGUGGGGGAAAAUAUUCCCAAAGCCGUGUUCUGCAGGUGGCUCAGGCAGUUUGAACAGAAGUCUGUGGUGGUCCAGCUCAUUGGGAACUUUUGUGCUCAAACCAGGAGGAUGCUGCAGCUGGGGCUGAUCCACGGAUUUCAAGUCUGUGCCUCCGCCGGGUUUGACACCGUGCAGCGAAGCUCUCAGAUGUCUGCCUCUCCCGAGCUGUGA